rnacentral:rRNA from 1 species
GAUGAACGCUGGCGGCGUGCUUAACACAUGCAAGUCGAACGGAAAGGCCCAAGCUUGCUUGGUUACUCGAUUGCCGAACGGGUGAGUAACACGUGGGUGAUCUGCCCUGCACUUCGGGAUAAGCCUGGGAAACUGGGUCUAUUACCGGAUAGGACAUUGGUUUGGAUGCCAUUGUGGAAAGUUUUUUCGUUGUGGGAUGAGUUCGCGGCCUAUCAGCUUGUUGGUGGGGUAUUGGCCUACCAAGGCGUCGAGGGGUAGCCGGCCUGAGAGGGUGUACGGCCACACUGGGAUUGAGAGACAGCCCAGACUCCUACGGGAGGCAGCAGUGGGGAAUAUUGCACAAUGCGAGCAAGCCUGAUGCAGCGACGCCGCGUGGGGGAUGACGGCCUUCGGGUUGUAAACUCCUUUCGCUAGGGACGAAGCGUUUUUGUGACGGUACCUGGAGAAGAAGCACCGGCUAACUACGUG